GGCUCAUAAUAUCUCUUCAAAGUUGGCAUUUCAGGUCUAAACCUAGGAACUGCAGUUCCAGGUCGAUGAACAACUCGCUGAUGGAGCUGUUGUUGCACCUGCAAGUCCAUGAGACCAAUCGGACUUGCUCUUGAACCAGAACCAGAGACAUGAUCCUUCCCAAUUUCACCACUCACUGCCAUCUCAUCCCCUUGUCCACCAGAAGAAAUCAUUGCUGCAGGUGAAACUUCUUCCUUCUUCUGCCGCUUCACUGGCGUAGCUUUCCUGUCCUUGAGCCUCCUAUGGCAGAACCACAUCUGCAGUUGCCUAUCA
rnacentral:misc_RNA from 1 species